rnacentral:tRNA from 1 species
GGGUCUGUGGCCUAGUGGAUAAGGCUCCAGCCUCCUAAGCUGGUGAUCGCGGGUUCAAAUCCCGUCAGGCCCG